UUAAGUUCCCCGCCUGGGGAGUACGGCCGCAAGGCUAAAACUCAAAGGAAUUGACGGGGACCCGCACAAGCGGCGGAGCAUGCGGAUUAAUUCGAUGCAACGCGAAGAACCUUACCAAGGCUUGACAUACACCAGAACACCGUAGAAAUACGGGACUCUUUGGACACUGGUGAACAGGUGGUGCAUGGUUGUCGUCAGCUCGUGUCGUGAGAUGUUGGGUUAAGUCCCGCAACGAGCGCAACCCUCGUUCUAUGUUGCCAGCACGUUAUGGUGGGAACUCAUGGGAUACUGCCGGGGUCAACUCGGAGGAAGGUGGGGAUGACGUCAAAUCAUCAUGCCCCUUAUGUCUUGGGCUUCACGCAUGCUACAAUGGCCGGUACAAAGGGCUGCAAUACCGUGAGGUGGAGCGAAUCCCAAAAAGCCGUCCCAGUUCGGAUUGAGGUCUGCAACUCGACCUCAUGAAGUCGAGUCGCUAGUAUCGCAGUCAGCACGGGG
rnacentral:rRNA from 1 species